GACGAACGCUGGCGGCGUGCUUAACACAUGCAAGUCGAACGGUAAGGCUCCAGCUUGCUGGGGUACACGAGUGGCGAACGGGUGAGUAACACGUGGGUGACCUGCCCUGCACUUCGGGAUAAGCCUGGGAAACUGGGUCUAAUACCGGAUAGGACCGCACCGUGAGGGUGUGGUGGAAAGUUUUUUCGGUGUGGGAUGGGCCCGCGGCCUAUCAGCUUGUUGGUGGGGUAAUGGCCUACCAAGGCGGCGACGGGUAGCCGGCCUGAGAGGGUGGACGGCCACAUUGGGACUGAGACACGGCCCAG
rnacentral:rRNA from 1 species